GGGGGGGGCGGGCGCGGGGACCGGGUAGAGCUCGUCUCCCCUCCCCUCGGGACCUUCAAUGCUAGUAAUAAAGGACAAUCAACCAAGGCAUACAAAAUACAUCAGUGCUGCUUCUUCCCCGCGUGGGCAGCUGUGCUCCUGGCAGCCUCAGCGGGGCUGGGGGCAGGAGGCGGGGCAGCACACCUGGGGCCAGUGAGUCGCAGAGACAAGGUGACCUGAUCGUGGUCGAGGCGGAGUGGGAUUCUGAUCUGGCCUAGUGGACACCUGGACUCCUGCUGUAUGCAUCUGUCUUUCCAGGUUUACUCCAGAUGACUAAAGCCUCAGCCUGUCCUCACCUGGUCACCCAUGAGGUCACCUGCCAGCUCCCCCAGACUCAGCCGGCUCUGGUCUCAGCGUCCUGGGUUUACGAGGCCCACAGGUGCUGCAAGGAGUGACCUGGUGCUCUACUGACAGGUGUGUUAUGACCAUCGGACCCUUUGGACAGAUUGAACAAUGUCUCUGAGAAACCCCCAAACUGUUCACUGUUCAUUUUUACAGGAGAAGACAUCUCAUACCUGCAGAGGUAAAGGGGUGACGAGCUCAUAAAAGCAGGAAUAGCAAAAUUUUCCUGUUACAAAGGGUUUUAAUAUGAGGGAAAGGUUCAGAGGUGAGAGCCCUUCAAAGGGAAAAUGACCAAACCCCACAGACGUCAAGGUUGGAGAAGUAAACGGGGUCCCUUGCGGAUUGAUGCUCCCCCUGGAUGCUCCGAGACGGACGUCAGUCUCUGAGCUCACGGGGAAGUUCUGGCUUCGCGUGAAGCAGGUGUGUUAUCCUGGAGUCGGACAGGGUCACAGGGAGAGGAGAGCCAGUGUGGACAGAGGGAGCGUGCACCCCCUCGGUCUGUCCACACCUGCUUCUCACGCACCUCACACGACCCCAGGCUGCUCAUCCGGACCUCUGCGCAGGGUCCACACUUCCACAUUGCUCUGCUUUCUCUGUGUGCAUGGGAUAAACUCUCACACAUCGUAGCACCCGCAGGCUGGGCUGCAAUGCUGGCCUUGGGAUGUGGGUUCCUGAAACGCACGGAGAAGGGGAGAGAGACCCUUGCCCGGCAUUGUCACAUCUUCCGUAGGAGGCAUCGUUGUCACUCACAUCCCCAAGGCUCACAUCGCUCAAGCAACGUUUGAAACGUAACAGAUAAGUGUUUCAAGAUGGCCCCAGAGUCCUUUUUUUCCACUGAUUUUUCUCAAGUUGCAUGGGUUCGGAGCCCAGCAGUCCCUGGGCAGUCACAGAACAUGCGUGUCAUGAAGAGCCCUCAAAAGCCAAAAUUGUUCUGACUGGUUCCCCAUUGUUUUGUGGCUGUCAGAAAAUAACCUGUAUUUAUUUUGAAAUAAUGUUCCUGCCUUUUUGUUCUAUAUAAAUGUAAUUUCUAUUUACUGUAGAAAAUUAAGAAAAUACAGGAGAGUAUACAGAAGAAAUUUAGAUGACUUAUAUUUCUGCCACCCAGAGAGAGCUCCUGUUAACAUCUUGAUGUAUUUUCUUUCAGGCUUUACGUGCAUAUAUUUAUACACUGGAGAUAAUUCUGUAUAUACACUUUGAGACUCUGUUUUUCACUAUUACAUUGUGAGCAAUGUAGUCCAAUCUGUGGUUACCCCAUAAUAAAGUGGCCCAUUCCUCUGCUGAA